GAAUUCCAUCUAAAGCUAAAUAUUGGCGAGAGACCGAUAGCGAACAAGUACCGUGAGGGAAAGAUGAAAAGCACUUUGGAAAGAGAGUUAAACAGUACGUGAAAUUGUUGAAAGGGAAACGAUUGAAGUCAGUCAUGCUCUUUGGUAUUUAUAUCAUUGAGUGGGGUCAACAUCAGUUUUGAUCGAUGGAUAAAGGUACUAGGAAGGUAGCACUCUCGGGUGAACUUAUAGCCUAGCGUCAUAUACAUUGAUUGGGACUGAGGAACGCAGCAUGCCUUUAUGGCCGGGAUUCGUCCACGUACAUGCUUAGGAUGUUGACAUAAUGGC
rnacentral:rRNA from 1 species